UCCAUUUAAGCUUCUCAUUUGGCACCCCUGGGUGCUUGAAUGUUUUAUCCUUAAUAUAGUCGUACGUUGUACAUGUUAAGAUGAAGCCAUUCCUUGUCAGUCCCCAAUCCAAUACAUAUUCUUUAGUUCCCUGUUGUGGGAAGAGGUGGCGGUUAACCAUGCUAUUCGUACACUCAUGCAAUUUGAAGGAAUGUUUUUCAAAUUCCCAUGUCUCAUGGUGAUAGAUUUCGAAAGUCUCAAUUUUUCCUUCCUCAUUGGUCGUUGGGCCUUGGAUAAUGCUUCGCAUAGUCUCAAUAUGGGAGCCAACUAUCACUGAAAAAGGUAUGCCGGAUCUAUGAGAAUUAGUGUCACUCAAUGUCUUGCUUUCAUGAGUUGGAAGGUCUGAUGAUUGUCUUGCAGUUCUAGCUUUAGCGAGGAGGUCGGAGUGUGGUGCGUGUCAUCGGCUCUGUCAUGAAGAUCAGUGGGUUUUCUUGUAUAUUUGGUGGUGGCAUUUGGUUGGAUGCAUACUUACUAUAGUUUGCGUCUAAGUCCUUUUGCUUAGUUGUAUUUUGUGGUGUAUCAUCAUCCAUCAUGUUUGUAUUAAUUUUAUAGAUGCGUGAUGCGACUUCAAUAGUUUUGUCAUUGGCAAGAGGGUGAUAAAUACCCUGAGUAUGGCCUGUAGCAGCUAUUUUGAUCAUCGGAGAAUUAGGGGAGGGAAGGGGAUAUUUAGUCAUUAAGUCAUGGGGCCCUAUGUUUCCCAUCGGAUUUAAGGUCGCGUAAUUACUAGCCAUGAUGGGAUUUUCUUUUUUGGAUUCUCUCUCUCUUCUGUAAUGGUUAUGAAAAGCAUUUGGUUGGCAGUGUUCAUAUUUUUACAGCUGUGACAUUGGCCUUAGAGUUAA